CCUACGGGAGGCAGCAGUGGGGAAUAUUGCACAAUGGGCGAAAGCCUGAUGCAGCGACGCCGCGUGAGGGAAGAAGUAUUUCGGUAUGUAAAGCUCUAUCAGCAAGGAAGAAAGUGACGGUACCUGAUUAGCAGGCACCGGCUAACAACGGGCCAGCAGCCGCGGUAAUACGUAGGGGGCGAGGGUUAUCCGGAUUUACUGGGUGUAAAGGGAGCGUAGACGGCAGCGCAAGUCUGAAGUGAAAUGCCCGGGCUUAACCCCGGAACUGCUUUUGAAACUGUGCAGCUAGAGUGCAGGAGAGGUAAGUGGAAUUCCUAGUGUAGCGGUGAAAUGCGUAGAUAUCAGGAGGAACACCAGUGGCGAAGGCGGCUUACUGGACCGUAACUGACGCUGAGGCUCGAAAGCGUGGGUAGCAAACAGGAUUAGAUACCCCUGUAGUC
rnacentral:rRNA from 1 species